GUACAAUGAUUACACUAUACUUGCUUGUUUUGUUACAUAAACUGAAUUUAAGCGAACUAUUAGAAUUUUAGCAACCAGAAAAUGGCGGAGCUAUUUCGGCAUAUUGCAUCUUUAAGUGUAUGGUCCAUUUUAUCAUUAAUAGCAAUGAGUGACUCAGACAACUGCAAAAUUUCACUUUCAACAAGUGGAAAAGGCUGUUCAAAUGCAAUGGCAGUUCGCGUUUUCUUCACAAUGGUGUUCGGGAGUCUUUGUUUUUGAUAUCCCUUAACAAAAUAGUGUGUUGCUCAGUGUCUUUCUACACGGGCUGGUGCCCCAUGUCUUUUUCAGCACAGAGGCUGGUUAACUAGGUUUUAGGAGGUUAUUGGGUCACUCGGCAAUGUUACAGGUUUAAAGGCACAUAAGCAAGUAGGGCCUAGAAUAAGCACAUAGGUUUCUCUAGAGGCCAAAUAGUACUGUAAUAGCACUGUGUUGGCUAGUCUUUCACUUGGAAACGUUUGACAUAAGGGGACCCGCCUCUGUUCACUAAGUGGGUCCAGGACCUGAACUGUUCAUACCUAGGGGGAGAACCAGCAGUCUGAGAAGCAGGAAUCUGUCUACACUGUCACGUCUGCUCCCGCUCUUCCCUUCCUCUGGCGAGAUUACCCUGCAUCACGCGCUCCUGCCAUCUAUCAUGCACACCUGCCUUCCCUCGUCACUUGCAUCAGCAUUAUUGGACUCACCUGGACUCACUUAUCUCCUGUUAAUUUCCUCCCCUAUAAUUGUCUGUUCCCUAGCUCUAUUCCUUGCUGCGUCGUUGUAUUGUUUUUGUCUCUUGGAUUUGUUUUUGACGCUGUCUAUGUCAGUCAUUUACUAAAUGUUUAAUCCCAGUACCUGCUUCGUCCCUCCAGCGUCAUUCCGCAUGACAUACACAUGUGUGAUGAAAACCCUGUAUGACUGCUGCAUUGCUGCAGCUACAUAGAGAAGGUCUGAUGUGGAGAGUCAACUGGAAGAAGCAACUCAUUCUUCAGGAGAUAGAAAUCAUCCUGACCAGUUCACAAAGACCCCAGAGGUUCCUCCGGUGUCAGAGAAAGUGCUAGAAGAGGACAGGUCUGAGAACCAGGACAGAGGAGACACACCUUAACUGGACCAGAACCUCCAGAGGACAAACUACCAUGACCCGCAGAGCGAACAAGAGGAAGAAGAAAUACUAGACCUGCACAUGAAGCCCAACAAGGAGAGACACUAGGACCUGUACACAGUAGACCACAAAUACAAGAACCAGACAAAUCAACACAUGCAGGAGUCCAGCCAGGAGAUUCAGUCAGGGGAACCAGCCAGGGGAGUAAAGAGAGAAUAAUUAUGUGGAAGAAUAAGAGGAAGUAAUAAAGAGACAGACGAGGAGAAAUGGGAACAAAAUACAGAGGGGGACAUGAACGAGAGAUGAAGGACAGGAGUAGAAGGAAUCAGACACAGAGAAUGAAGGAGUUGAUACCAACCAAACAUCCACCCAGAAUGAUGAGAUGGAUGAGACGCAUAUAAUAAACCCCAAUGAGCAGCACAUUGCCCAGACUACACUACAGAGACAGUCCUGUGAAUCACCAGCAUCCCCAGAUAGCAAAGAAAAAAUAAAGGACAUGAGUCACCCAUCCCAGACCCCAAUGAGCAGCACAUUACCCAUAAUACACCACAGAGGCUGUCCAGUGACUCCGCAGAAGACCCAGAAAGAAUUGAUGACACACCCGCCCCAGACCCCAAGGAGCAGCACAUUAUCCACAGUCCGCUACAGGCGCAGUCCAGUGACUCCCUUUGAUGACCGCCAAGAGAAGGGGCACAGAGAAAGUAAAAAUAAAUGCAUCCUUCAGUAAUUUGCAAUUCACUUGUAUUGAAGAUUAUCCACAAACUGUAACACUUCUUUGUACCAGUAGGGGUCAGUGUUCUUUAGCGUUUCCAUCUACUACUUCCUUUGCAGGGUCCAUUUUUUUAUUUCAGUGUGGUAAGACUGUUUUUGUGACAGUUGUUGUGAAUACAUACAUUACAACAAAAAUAUACAAAUAUGUAUGUUUGUGAUGGUGAUCCUGUUUUGAGCUGUGGCAAAUUUCUUUAUAAACCAAUGGCAAAUUUGACUGUUUAUUUUAGAGAGGUUUUCCACAGCUUAUUACACUUACAUAUAGUAAUUUAGCAGACGCUCUUAUCCAGAGAGACUUACUUUCGACACAUGUACUUAUUGUAAGUGAAUCAACUAUGCAUCAGUCAUCGCAAGUAAGACACAAUCAGAUGAACAACAGCUGCUCAAUGAUUAUGACCCCUUGAAGAUACAGCCAGUUCAUUGUUGGUUCACUAAUUGAUUUUGCCUUGCAGAUAAUGCAUUUUUGUUUGAGUUUCAUACCAAAUACUCAUACUGACACAGUACUUUCUUAGUCUAGUAUUUACUUAGCAUGAUAAUUCACCUUCCUAAUCCACAGAUUGGCUCCUACAAACAAUACACAAAGACAAACUGCAUCUCAGUAGCUAAUGAAAAGAAUACUCAGCGCACAAAAAAGAACAAGAGAACAAGCUAAUCCUAAACCAAAUGCCAGGCUGGUCUAGAUUUCCAAAGGGAAUAGGUAUCUUUAUCGGUCAGACCUGGUUAGUUUAACCCCAGAGUCAGAGAGGGGCCUCUGAUCUGCUACCAGCUGACCUGUGGGUCCAGAGCACCAGAGGAGAAUGAACACUAUCGGUUUCUGUGGUCACAACAAAUACCAGGGGAAUAUUAAUAUAUUGAAUUAUUCUGGAGGCGCGGAGGUGGGCGGGUAUGGGAAUAAUAAUGCAGUUCCUCAGAGAUGGUGUUGAUGUCUUGCUGGCAGUAGGAGAGCUCUGGUCCUGUUCUCCUUCUACUGGCUGGGAUUGUAGGUUCAACUCCCUAUGCCUCCCUUUCUGCAUCCAACCUCUUACUUUAACACUCAUUGUUUCAGGGUUACAUUUACAUUUACAUUUUAGUCAUUUAGCAGACGCUCUUAUCCAGAGCGACUUACAGUAGUGAAUGCAUACAUUUCAUACAUUUUCUUCACAUCAUGGAGGUACACAUCUUUUGCAUUUCAGUAGUUCUGUCAAAGUUGUUUGGAGUUUUUCCAGUUUAUAGAGCUCACCAGCUUGUAGUCCUAAAAACCGAAAAUGAGUUACCUCUGGUUCGUUCAGCCCUUCCUAUGGGAAAAAUGAGUUACCUCUGGUUCGUUCAACCCUUCCUAUGGGAAAAAUGAGUUAUUUUUAUAUUUUUCAGUUGUAACAGUCAGGGUUGAUGCCUGACUGUUACCACUGGCAUUAACAGUCGUUGAUUCUCAUAAAUACGACCCCCUGGGACAAAGGACCGAGCGAUCCAUGAGGUCACAAUAUACUGACAUGAUUUUCUAGUCUAAAAAGUAACAUUUUUGAAAAAUCACAUUCAAGACAUAACAGCAGUGUGGUCAACAAAACCCAUUUCUGCCUUUUCUAUGUGAGUGCCCAUUUCCUGUUGGAGCCUAAUGUUCUCCUAGACAGGGGCCCAAUUUAAGUUUACACUUUAGAUUGUUUGGGUCUAGUUUGGCUCCUCUUCUACUUGAAAGAGACAGAGAGAGUGUGAGAGAGAGAGAGAGAGAGAGAGAGAGACACCCUUGAUUAGCAUGCUGGGUUGUUUAAAUUGCCUCCUGGAGUGCCGAGGUAGAAUCGAACAAUAUCCUCUGGCUUUAGACUCCAUAGCCCAAUGGCCCCAUAGCUUGUCAUUUAUUUGAAUGCAUCAGGAUUAAGAUAGAGAGGCCUACCUGGCACCACUCCACUGGGGAAGCUGGCUCGCUGGCUGCUGAGCCCAAGGCGGACAGAUCCUAGUGGCUUAUGAUGAAUCAAUUCAUAUCAGUUCAAUAAAAGUGGCUGGAUGAAUGCCUCUUUUUGUGCCACGGUUUAUAGUGAUAGAACAAACUCUGUGCCCAUGGUCAUUAUGUGAAUGUAUAAUUUAGCAUGGCCAAGACACCAUAAUUCAAUAUUAAAUGAGACUCCUUUGCAAUUAUUGUCUCGGACCUCAAUUCAGGCCUGGUUUAUCUCCAGAUCCCCUUUUAAUUGGAAUACCAGGAGUGACUAAGAGGUAAUUGUUCAGCGGAAUUGUUAUCACUUCGUAUUGACUGCGUCUGUCUUCCAGGAUGCUGUGGAGGUUUAUUACUGUACCAGGCCUAAUCUGUAAACUCCAUUCUGCUGCUAACAUUUGGUCAUCAUGCAACAUUUAAGAGGGCCCAAGGCACACACACUUAAGUAUCCAGGGCAAUAAGAAAUAUUGUGUACUUUCCUGUCCACCAGGAGAGGAGAGGCACAGACAGUGUUGGUGUUAUUUGCGAUUCUAUGCUUUUGCUUUUGCUUUUACAGGUUAGGCCACUUCCUUUAGGAUGCAUUAAUAAAAUCCUUGAAAACCGUUUUGCUUCUUUCACAAAGCGUUUCUUCAUAGAAUGUCAUUUUUCUGAACCUUUCACACUGUCAUUGAAGG
rnacentral:lncRNA from 1 species